AUUGAACGCUGGCGGCAGGCCUAACACAUGCAAGUCGAGCGGAUGAAGGGAGCUUGCUCCUGGAUUCAGCGGCGGACGGGUGAGUAAUGCCUAGGAAUCUGCCUGGUAGUGGGGGAUAACGUCCGGAAACGGGCGCUAAUACCGCAUACGUCCUGAGGGAGAAAGUGGGGGAUCUUCGGACCUCACGCUAUCAGAUGAGCCUAGGUCGGAUUAGCUAGUUGGUGGGGUAAAGGCCUACCAAGGCGACGAUCCGUAACUGGUCUGAGAGGAUGAUCAGUCACACUGGAACUAAGACACGGUCCAGACUCCUACGGGAGGCAGCAGUGGGGAAUAUUGGACAAUGGGCGAAAGCCUGAUCCAGCCAUGCCGCGUGUGUGAAGAAGGUCUUCGGAUUGUAAAGCACUUUAAGUUGGGAGGAAGGGCAGUAAGUUAAUACCUUGCUGUUUUGACGUUACCGACAGAAUAAGCACCGGCUAACUUCGUG
rnacentral:rRNA from 1 species